GUUGGUAUCAUGUCUGUGAAUCAUACAAAUCCAAUGAUGUUCAGUGGGCAUUACGAGCAAAGGCUAUUCUUGAUCGGGUGCAACUAAUACUUGCUGAUAGGUCCCAGAACAACCAGGAAAAAGUACAACCCAAUGUGCAGUACAUUGGUAAUUUCCUAGGUAUUAAAAAAUGGGUGGUAAGUUAAACAGAUUUCGAUUUAGUCAGUUUUAAUGUGGUCUCUUUCAAAUAAAUUAUUCAUUUUCCUUAAUUUCUGUUUUAACCUGUUGUAAGAUUGAUAAUUUCAAUGAGAAGAUUAAAGCAGGGUCAACAGCCGUCUUGUCCACACUUACCAGUCAUUGGAUCCCACACUCAAAAAAUUUGCAAAUUCAAAUUUAAGCUGGUAAGAAUUUAAUUGGACCAACUAAUUGUUCACUGAAUAACACUAAGAUUUAAUCUACGCUAUUUCUUUCUUUUUUUUAUUUUUUUUCCUUGCUUUGUCUCUUUCUUUCCUUCUUUCUCUCAUCGUUUCCUAUUCUUUAUUUGUGACUAAUGAACUGUAAACAGAUCUAAUUCAAUACUUUUCUGUUGUCUUAAGAAAUGUUCACUUGUUAGAUAUUUUGAACCUUUUUUGAAAAAAUUUUGGCUGCGUUUCAUUUGCUUUGCAUUGGAGCUUUUGAGAUCUGGGUGCUUAUUUAUGGAGGUAGUUCAAUCCUGAAUUAUCGUUUUUCAAGUGAUUUAUUAGUAGAAUUAUUUUUUUUGGAGGGAGGGAGGGGGGUUGUUCUUGUUAUUAGAUUCUUAAUUGCAGUGAAUUUUGACCAUUUCCAUAUUGAAAAUUUGAUUUGGAAGUUUGGUUUCUUUCGCUUUUACUGGAUCGUUAAUUCAUUGGAUUCAGAUCGCUUAACGUUUCUAAUUUUCAGCUAAAGAAAGCAUAGGUUCGUUCCAUAUAGAUAUUUUCCAUUUGGCCUUUAUGGGUUUCGUUUCUAUCAUUGAAACCAAACACCGGCACAUAACAUUUCUACAUUUUCACUUAUGUUUCUGCGAAAGAAAUAAACUUUUUCUUCGCCCCCUUCAUUGAUGCAUCGAAAACUUUAUAAUUUGUUUUUGGCCUUCCUGGAUGUCGUUUGGUCCACAAAAUCAGUCAUAAACACACGAGAAUUUUAGAGUCCUUUACUCUUUCAAUUUUUUUUUUUUUUUGACUUGGUG
rnacentral:misc_RNA from 1 species